GACGAACGCUGGCGGCGCGCUUAACACAUGCAAGUCGAACGGAAAGGCCUGCUUUCCCUUGUGGAUUGCGGGUACUCGAGUGGCGAACGGGUGAGUAACACGUGAGUGAUCUGCCCCCAACUUGGGUAUAAGCCUGGGAAACUGGGUCUAAUUCCCGAUAGGACUGCAGGGUGGUGCCUGUGGUGGAAAACGAUUUUCUAGUGGUUGGGGAUGAGCUCGCGGCCUAUCAGCUUGUUGGUGGGGUAAUGGCCUACCAAGGCGGCGACGGGUAGCCGGCCUGAGAGGGUGGACGGCCACAUUGGGACGGAGAUACGGCCCAGACUCCUACGGGAGGCAGCAGUGGGGAAUAGUGCACAAUGGGCGGAAGCCUGAUGCAGCGACGCCGCGUGGGGGAUGACGGCCUUCGGGUUGGAAACUCCUUUCGACCGCGAGGAAGCCACCUGGUGGGAAGGGUGGUGACGGUAGUGGUAGAAGAAGCACCGGCGAACUACGU
rnacentral:rRNA from 1 species